rnacentral:rRNA from 1 species
AAGAUAAGCCUGCAUGUCUAAGUAUAAGCAAUUAUACCGCGAAACUGCGAAUGGCUCAUUAAAUCAGUUAUCGUUUAUUUGAUAGUACCUUAUUACAUGGAUAACCGUGGUAAUUCUAGAGCUAAUACAUGCUAAAAAUCCCGACUCACGAAGGGAUGUAUUUAUUAGAUUAAAAACCAAUGCCCCUCGGGGCUUUCAGGUGAUUCAUAAUAACUUCUCGAAUCGCAUGGCCUUGCGCCGGCGAUGGUUCAUUCAAAUUUCUGCCCUAUCAACUUUCGAUGGCAGGGUAUUGGCCUGCCAUGGUUACAACGGGUAACGGAGGGUUAGGGCUCGACCCCGGAGAAGGAGCCUGAGAAACGGCUACUACAUCCAAGGAAGGCAGCAGGCGCGCAAAUUACCCAAUCCCGACACGGGGAGGUAGUGACAAUAAAUACUGAUACAGGGCUCUUUUGGGUCUUGUAAUUGGAAUGAGUACAAUUUAAAUCCCUUAACGAGGAACAAUUGGAGGGCAAGUCUGGUGCCAGCAGCCGCGGUAAUUCCAGCUCCAAUAGCGUAUAUUAAAGUUGUUGCAGUUAAAAAGCUCGUAGUUGAACCUUGGGCCUGGCUGGCCGGUCCGCCUCACCGCGUGCACUGGUUCGGCCGGGCCUUUCCCUCUGGGGAGCCCUAUGCCCUUCACUGGGUGUAGUGGGGAACCAGGACUUUUACUGUGAAAAAAUUAGAGUGUUCAAAGCAGGCAUAUGCUCGAAUACAUCAGCAUGGAAUAAUAGAAUAGGACGUGUGGUUCUAUUUUGUUGGUUUCUAGGACCGCCGUAAUGAUUAAUAGGGACAGUCGGGGGCAUCAGUAUUCAAUUGUCAGAGGUGAAAUUCUUGGAUUUAUUGAAGACUAACUACUGCGAAAGCAUUUGCCAAGGAUGUUUUCAUUAAUCAGGAACGAAAGUUAGGGGAUCGAAGACGAUCAGAUACCGUCGUAGUCUUAACCAUAAACUAUGCCGACUAGGGAUCGGACGAUGUUAUUUUUUGACUCGUUCGGCACCUUACGAGAAAUCAAAGUUUUUGGGUUCUGGGGGGAGUAUGGUCGCAAGGUGAAUAG